CAGUCGCCGCGGGAAAACGAGGGGUGCAAGCGUUAUUCGGAUUGAUUGGGUGUAAAGGGUGUGCAGACGGCUUAUUAAGUCACUUGUUAAAUUCUUCGGCCUAACUGAAGGUCUGCAAGUGAUACUGAUGAGCUAGAGGGUGGAAGAGAGAAGUGGAAUUCUCGGAGUAGCGGUAAAAUGCGUAGAUCUCGAGAGGAACACCGAUGGCGAAGGCAGCUUCUUGGUCCAUUCCUGACGUUCAUACACGAAAGCGUGGGGAGCAAGCAGGAUUAGAUACCCCCGUAGUCCCUGUCUCUUAUAC
rnacentral:rRNA from 1 species